GGGGGGGGGGGGGGGGGGGGGGGGGGCGGGGGGGGCGGGCGGGAAGGGGCUGCUGGUGUGGGGUGCUCGAGUGGCGAACGGGGGAGGAACAGGUGAGUAACCUGCCCUUUACUUUGGGAUAACUUCAGGAAACGGGGGCUAAUACCGGCUAGGAGCUCCUGCUGCAUGGUGGGGGUUAGAAAGUUCCGGCGGGUGGGGAUGGGCUCUCGGCUUAUCAGCUUGUUGGUGGGGUAGUGGCUUACCAAGGCUUUGACGGGUAGCCGGCCUGAGAGGGUGACCGGCCACAUUGGGACUGAGAUACGGCCCAGACUCCUACGGGAGGCAGCAGUGGGGAAUAUUGCACAAUGGGCGGAAGCCUGAUGCAGCAACGCCGCGUGCGGGAUGACGGCCUUCGGGUUGUAAACCGCUUUCGCCUGUGACGAAGCGUGAGUGACGGUAAUGGGUAAAGAAGCACCGGCUAACUACGUG
rnacentral:rRNA from 1 species